UUUGCUUUUUCACUGGCGCUGGUGUGUGUAGCUCAAAGUCUUGUACGGAGCAGGUUUACGUUAUUUAUGCAAACAAUCCUUGCUCUGCCUUGAGGGAACUAGAUGAUACUUCUUUUGAAAUGCAUGUUGGAAGCAUUUUCUACUUAAGAGAAGGAGGCGCAAAUACUUGUUAGACAACUUGGUAAUACGUAUUUCUCAACCCCAGCCUGCUCUUUUCUGUAACACUGAAUGGCUAGAAUUUGGCUGAACCAGUUUAGGUAUUGCAUAGGUUGGUUACAUUUCCUGAUCUUGGAGAAGUGGGUUUAUGCAGGAGAUGUCCUAUGGGGUCCAGCAGCACACACCCUUCUGGUCCCUUGAGCUAUGUGCUCUAGGAGUGCCCCCUAUGUGGGCUGCAUGUGCCCUUCUGAUGUGGUGGAGCCAACUACUAUGGACACACUGUUCUGGAGGCUGGGAAGUCCAGGAUCAAGGCUCCGGCAGAUUCACUGUCUGGUGAGACAGACAUGGAAGACAUUCACUUCCUGGUUUGUAGAUGGCCAUCUUCUUUUGCUGUAUCCUCACACAGAGAAAGAG